rnacentral:lncRNA from 1 species
UCGGCCGACAUGUAUUGCUUUUACUGCAUGUACAUCAGUUGUGUUAUUCUGUGCAUCAAAAGCGACACAGUUAAAAACAAUAUUAAACUAGUAUAGUAUUGAAGUUCAUACAGCCUCUAAGUUUUAAACCCUUUAUAUUUUAUAAACGAUCAAAAUGUAUGUAUUUGACCCACAAUGUACACUGUAGAGUUACAUCUAUAUGGAAAGGAUUUAACUGGAGUUUUUCUGUUGUUUUAAUAAAGAAUUGUAGGUGUAUACAGUUCUUCCGAUGGAUAUACAUGGGAAUUUACCCUUUUUGUUAUGUUUGACAGUGCUCUUAAUUAAUGUUUGUGGAGCAUUCUCAAAACCAGAAUUUAACGUAGAAAAAACAAACAUUACAGUGUUGGAAGGCGGAACAGCCAUUCUACCAUGUGCUAUUGUAAACCUUAGCUGAUCAUAAGGUGGUGUGGACUAACAUGCAU